rnacentral:rRNA from 1 species
UACGGGGGGGGCAAGCGUUGUUCGGAAUUACUGGGCGUAAAGGGCUCGUAGGUGGCCAACUAAGUCGGACGUGAAAUCCCUCAGCUUAACUGGGGAACUGCGUCCGAUACUGGAUGGCUUGAGUUUGGGAGAGGGAUGCGGAAUUCCAGGUGUAGCGGUGAAAUGCGUAGAUAUCUGGAGGAACACCGGUGGCGAAGGCGGCAUCCUGGACCAACAUUGACACUGAGACCCGAAAGCGUGGGGAUCAAACAGG